rnacentral:hammerhead_ribozyme from 1 species
ACACUGCUGAGGAGUCCCACAAUAGGACGAAACGCCCGUCCAGUGC